rnacentral:rRNA from 1 species
GACGAACGCUGGCGGCGUGCCUAAUACAUGCAAGUAGAACGCACAGUUUAUACCGUAGCUUGCUACACCAUAGACUGUGAGUUGCGAACGGGUGAGUAACGCGUAGGUAACCUGCCUGGUAGCGGGGGAUAACUAUUGGAAACGAUAGCUAAUACCGCAUAAUAUUAAUUAUUGCAUGAUAAUUAAUUGAAAGGUGCAAUUGCACCACUACCAGAUGGACCUGCGUUGUAUUAGCUAGUAGGUGAGGUAACGGCUCACCUAGGCGACGAUACAUAGCCGACCUGAGAGGGUGAUCGGCCACACUGGGACUGAGACACGGCCCAGACUCCUACGGGAGGCAGCAGUAGGGAAUCUUCGGCAAUGGACGAAAGUCUGACCGAGCAACGCCGCGUGAGUGAAGAAGGUUUUCGGAUCGUAAGGCUCUGUUGUAAGAGAAGAACGGGUGUGAGAGUGGAAAGUUCACACUGUGGCGGUAUCUUACCAGAAAGGGACGGCUAACUACGUG